GACGAACGCUGGCGGCGUGCUUAACACAUGCAAGUCGAACGGAAAGGCCCUGCUUUUGUGGGGUGCUCGAGUGGCGAACGGGUGAGUAACACGUGAGUAACCUGCCCUUGACUUUGGGAUAACUUCAGGAAAAUGGGGCUAAUACCGGAUAGGAGCUCCUGCUGCAUGGUGGGGGUUGGAAAGUUUCGGCGGUUGGGGAUGGACUCGCGGCUUAUCAGCUUGUUGGUGGGGUAGUGGCUUACCAAGGCUUUGACGGGUGGCCGGCCUGAGAGGGUGACCGGCCACAUUGGGACUGAGAUACGGCCCGUACUCCUACGGGAGGCAGCGGUGAGGAAUAUUGCACACUGGGCGGAAGCCGUAUGCAGCAACGCCGCGUGCGGGAUGACGGCCUUCGGGUUGUAAACCGCUUUCGCCUGUGACGAAGCGUGAGUGACGGUAAUGGGUAAAGAAGCACCGGCUAACUACGUG
rnacentral:rRNA from 1 species